UGAUCACUGAGGAUAACAUGCAGCGGGUCCGAGGCAGGCAUCCUGACUGCUGCCUGCUGCUCAGGCGCGGUUCGUCUUUCCCGCUCAGCGCCCGCACCUCAGGGCCUUCCCCCCGCGGAGACUCUCCCGCACGCGCUGAUCCACGCGCCCGCCUGCCUGGCUCUUGCUGACAUGCUGUGCCCCUGUGCUUUGCUAGUCCAGGCAAGGCAGAAGCGGGAUUUGAGCAGGUGAACCUGAUAUAAGAAGCAAAAUGAAUGAGAAGCUACAUACAAAAUACCGGGUGUCCUUAUAAGGAAGCAAAGUUUCAUCCCAUGGAAAGCUUCCCUUCCACACAUGACUUCCCGGAGCUGCUUGGCUCAGCAGAUCUAUUAGCUCAUAGACCAAGGCAGAGUCGUCUUCAUCCUUCUACUUCUCACCAUGAAAGUGCUGGGGAGAUGCACAAUGCAUGAGGAAAUUGGCAGGCAGGGGCCUCCCUUCGGCACAAGAGCCAAGGAUGACAGUGGAUGUAAGACAAAGAAAUCCACAAAUCCCUCCAGCACCAGCUUCUCUUGAGAGAAAGAAUCCAUUCCAAGAAACCCUCUCCAUUCACAAACAAGGAGAGAUUAUUAUCCCACCCUCCGUCUCCCGGGUAUGGAACGGGGCUCCUCCUGACCUGUGAACCCAGGUUGGGAAUUUCUUUCUCAGGUGGUGUGGUGGUUUGGAGCUGUACAUAUCCCAGAAAAACACAUUCUUAAAUCUAACCCAUUCCUGUAAGUGUAAACCCUUUGUAAGUAGGACCUUUUGAUGAGCCUACUUUGGUUGAUGUAUGGCCCCCCUCAUUCGGAAUGGCCUUAAUCCUAUUACAAGGGUCCUUUGUAAAUGGAUUGAAUAUAGAGAAAAAAGAGAAAGACAUGGAAGCAAGAAGCUGAAAGCAAAGAAACCCAUAAGAGAAGGGAGAGAGCACAAGACGCCAUGUGCCUUGCCAUGUGUCAGAGGAGCCAUGGAUCACCGGCAGCC